UACGGAGGGUGCAAGCGUUAUUCGGAAUGACUGGGCGUAAAGGGCGCGUAGGCGGCGCGGGAAGUCAACGGUGAAAGCUUGGGGCUCAACUCCGAGUCGGCCGUCGAUACUCCCGUGCUCGAGCACUGUAGAGGCAGAUGGAAUUCCGGGUGUAGCGGUGGAAUGCGUAGAGAUCCGGAAGAACACCGGUGGCGAAGGCGGUCUGCUGGGCAGUUGCUGACGCUGAUGCGCGACAGCGUGGGGAGCAAACAGG
rnacentral:rRNA from 1 species